GGAUGCUAGACAUUCCUCAUGGGAUACCCGAAGGGCAUACUAAAAAGACAGCCACAGUUUUCCUACUGACUGCGGCCAAGUUUCUUGAGGGCCCAGCUGUUGGGGUGUGGCAAAUUACAGUUUAACCCCCCACUUAAGGAGAUAUUUGGGUACCAGACACGGAGUGAAGGGUGAGCUGGCUGCGGGGAUCUCCAGGCAGGAAGAACGGCAUCCACCAGGGGGCCCGUGGUUGAGUUUUUAAGCAGGAUCAAGUUACACAGCAC